rnacentral:misc_RNA from 1 species
UGCUGCUGCUGCUUCUGUGUUUGACACUUUUGUCGAUUGUCUCACAAAAAAACUCAAUUCCUCAAUCAGAAAUCUCGAAAAUCGUGUACACCCCAAACAACCUUUCGUUUAACUCCAUUUUACAAGCCUAUAUCAGAAACGGCCGGUUUUUCAACUCCUCCACUACUUCCAAACCGGUUAUCAUCGUCACUCCGACGGUGGAAUCUCAGGUCGCCGGAGUUGUUGUUUGUACCAAACAGUUAAAUUUACAGCUGAAAAUCCGUAGCGG